rnacentral:rRNA from 1 species
UACGUAGGGUGCAAACGUUGUUCGGAAUCACUGGGCAUAAAGAGCGCGUAGGCGGUCUGAUAAGUCCUGUGUGAAAGCCCCCGGCUCAACCGGGGAAUUGCACAGGAUACUGUCGGGCUAGAGUACAGGAGGGGAGAGCGGAAUUCCUGGUGUAGCGGUGGAAUGCGCAGAUAUCAGGAGGAACACCGGUGGCGAAGGCGGGAUCCUGGGCCAGUACUGACGCUGAGGAGCGAAAGCGUGGGGAGCAAACAGG